AGAGUUUGAUCCUGGCUCAGAGUGAACGCUGGCGGCGUGGAUUAGGCAUGCAAGUCGAGCGAUUAGUCAAUUUGCUUGCAAAUUGACCAAUAGCGGCAAACUGGUGAGUAACACGUGAGCAAUUUUCCCAAAAAUCGAACAUAGCUUCGUGAAAACGGAGGUAAUAUUCGAUGUGGUGCUGAUACCGCAUGGUAUUAGUAUUAAAGGUGGGGACCUUCGGGCCUACCGUUUUUGGAUGAGCUCGCGGCCUAUCAGCUUGUUGGUGGGGUAACGGCCUACCAAGGCAUUUGACGGGUAGCUGGUCUGAGAGGAUGGUCAGCCACACUGGGACUGAGACACUGCCCAGACUCCUACGGGAGGCUGCAGUCGAGAAUCUUUAGCAAUGGGCGAAAGCCUGACUAAGCGACGCCGCGUGCAGGAUGAAGGUUUUCGGAUUGUAAACUGCUUUUGUUUGGAAAGAAAACCCUAAACUCUAACAUAGUUUAGGGCUGACGGUACCAGACGAAUAAGCCACGGCCAACUCCGUGCCAGCAGCCGCGGUAAUACGGAGGUGGCAAGCGUUACUCGGAAUUAUUGGGUAUAAAGGGCAAGUAGGCGGUUUAUUAAGUGAGGGGUGAAAUCUCCCGACUCAAUCGGGAAACUGCCUUUCAAACUAAUAGACUUGAGGUUGGAAGAGGGAAACGGAAUUAGCAGUGUAAGGGUGAAAUCUGUAGAUAUUGCUAAGAACACCAGCGGCGAAGGCGGUUUCCUGGUCCAAACCUGACGCUAAAUUGCGAAAGCUAGGGUAGCGAACAGAAUUAGAUACUCUGGUAGUCCUAGCCGUAAACGAUGACUACUAGGUGUUGGUCUUUUGAUCAGUGCCGCAGCUAACGCAUUAAGUACUCCACCUGGGGACUACGGCCGCAAGGCUAAAACUCAAAGGAAUUGACGGGGACCCGCACAAGCGGUGGAACAUGUGGUUUAAUUCGAUGCUACGCGAAGAACCUCACCAGGGCUUGACAUGUAUGAAGUAGUGAACCGAAAGGGGAACGAACCGUUAAGUCCGGAAACAUACACAGGUGCUGCAUGGCUGUCGUCAGCUCGUGUCGUGAGAUGUUGGGUUAAGUCCCGCAACGAGCGCAACCAUUGCUCCAUGUUGCUACCUCCACAAAUAUCACUUGUGAUAUGUGGAGCGCACUCAUGGGGGACUGCCUGGGAUAACUAGGAGGAAGGUGGAGAUGACGUCAAGUCAGUACGGCCUUUAUGCCCUGGGCUACACACGUGUUACAAUGGCAGGUACAAAGGGUUGCCAACCCGCGAGGGGGAGCUAAUCUCA
rnacentral:rRNA from 1 species